GUGAGUACUAGAUAAAAGCUUUAGAAAUUGUGCGACAACAAUCACUCUUCUAGUCAUUCAGAAGGGAAAAAAAACUGCGCUGCACAAUCGAUAAGUGACAAUCUGGGGAAGAAAUGGCUGCCAAAGUUUCUAACUGGACUUUCUAAUCCUAAUAUGACUUUUUUUUUUCUCCCCCCAAAUGAAUAAAAACAUGCACCCCUGCUAAGAAAAUAAAAAGAAAAAGAGGAAGAAACAGCAGUUUUUAUGACACAGGAAAAGGCAGCUGUUGGUCGCAACGAGGCCUAUCAUCAUGUCGUACUGUACUGGCAUGGAGGGAGUGCUCAAGCGAAAUGGGAAGCUAUUAGACGUCAUUGCACCAGGCAGACCUCCUAUAAAAAAGGAAUGCCAUUCCAGCUGCCUCUCUCAAAUAAUUAACUUAGCGUUGACGCUCCUCAUGUGAUUGAGAGUCGUGCGACUGGAGGUGCGCGUGAUGAAGCCCCGCUCAUCUCCUAUUCAUCAUGAUGUAACCGUGAGCAACCCGGAUCUAAAUUACCUUCGUCUGGCAUCAUUCCAGCACAUGCUAUAAAUGAGCAUGUCAGCUGCACUCAGCGGUGCCGUCCCCGAACGGUCUGGAGAAGAGCACGGCGGAUGACGUGGAACAACAGAGCCAUCAAGUCCCAUUUAUGCCUCCCGCCGUGACCUUGCCACAGACGUCGACGAGGUUCAGCAACGCACCCGGCCGAGUGCCGGCAACAUUCUGCUACCCGCUGCACUUCCGCGACACUCUGCUGACCUUAAAAGUGUGUCCUCGAUUUGGGGCAAGGCUGAAAACAUUCAGAAGCAGCAUUCUUGUCCUCCUUGCGUUGCGUUUGUUUGCAGUGGCCUACUUCUUUUCACAAAGCAGCUGUUCUACUUUUAUGGUGGUCUCUCCGGUGGAGCCCUCAUGCUGACUUGCGCUGACACCGACCAGGUGCUCGUCACAACGGUUUUCCACGGAGCCUUCAAACAGGAAGCAGAUGCGCUCAGGAGAAGGUGUCAGGCGUUUACACGCCGACGGAGAGCAUCGGAGCACUGCUGACAGCAACGUUUUGGCGUGGGUGUCCAUGGCGGCGCUUGACUCACCUCCGUGCAUCACGGCUGGGAAGGCCGAGCUGUCGACGUCUUUCAUGAUUCCGCCUCCAUCCGCUUGUACUCGGUUGGGAGAAACAAGAUGGCUUGUUUUCUCGCAAUGUCUUUAAAAUGCAACGUAGCUGCGACUCAAGCCACUUGGUCCAAUCAAAUGCACGAUCCAGCCUCCUUAACGGCCUCCUGUCCGGCCAUGGCGCCUCCUUAUUUCGAUUGCCCCCUUGAUCACUCUUUUCAAUUGAGUGGGUUCUGAUGUGAUGACUUUCCCCUUUCUAAAGGAAAAGCUACAGAAAAAAAUAAAUGAGCUGACGCGUCCAUGUUGAUUUGCACAAAAAAGGAACAUCAAGUACUGUCAGUCUUCCUUUGCAUACUGGAUGUGAUACAAGGUGUAUGGAAAUCCGUUUUGCAGUCUUUCCACAAUGUCGCCGACAACUAUCGAAACAAGAGCUCUUGCUCUUUGCGCACCAAGAAAAAAAAAAAAAAGCCAACACCAAAGAACUCUUAUUAGAUCCGAACGCCACUUACCAACUCCAGUAUUUCUGAUCUACCUUCAAAAGCUGACAUUGAAACCAUUAAGUACACAUUUUUGUGAGUUCUGCGCCUUGUUGGGAUCCGUCGGUGUUGAAAGCUCUGAGACCGCGGCGGUAAUCCUCAUCUAUCAACACGCUAAGCUUGCUUGCUGCCUUCAAUAAGACUCUCUGCUGGGAUUUUGUUGAUGUUGUCAGGAAGCAUUUACGCCACCAUGCCGAUCAAAAUUCCACUUGGACAUUUUUUUUUCUUCUGUUUCUUGUUUUGUUUUGUUUCCGAUGGACCAAAACGACAGAAGAAUUGAAUGCGCUUCUACUUGGAAAGCUGAAAAACCAAAUAAAUAAGUCUGGGUACAUUUGGAAAGUUGCAUUCAUGCCAAAAAUCAAGAGGUCGUUUAACUUGUGCAACAGAGGGAGAUUUAGUUGAUGAAGCACUGUACUUGGCGUUCAUCUGUUGUGCAAAUUAACAUUUAAUAGCCACGCGCAUUUGAAUAUGUUCUUUCCCAACACAGUGAGAAACCACCAACGUGGAGAGCGAGCGCGC